rnacentral:rRNA from 1 species
UACGUAGGGUGCAAGCGUUGUCCGGAAUUAUUGGGCGUAAAGAGCUCGUAGGCGGUCUGUCGCGUCGGCUAUGAAAACCCGGAGCUCAACUCCGGGCCUGCAGUCGAUACGGGCAAACUGGAGUACUGCAGGGGAGACUGGAAUUCCUGGUGUAGCGGUGAAAUGCGCAGAUAGUCAGGAGGAACACCGGUGGCGAAGGCGGGGUCUCUGGGGCA